rnacentral:rRNA from 2 species
AUUUAGAGGAAGGAGAAGUCGUAACAAGGUUUCCGUAGGUGAACCUGCGGAAGGAUCAUUGUCGAUGGCCCGCAAUCAGUUUGACCGGCGAACAUGUUUUAUCCGACCCACGGGGGUUGGCAUGAUCUCAUCCUCCCCCUGCCGGGAGGAGGCCGUGCACGGCGCGGACUCCCCUUGGCAAACACAAACCCCGGCGCCACGCGCGCCAAGGAAUCCAAAACUGUCCAGUGCGGCCCCGGGGGAGUUGGAGACAACGCCUCGCGGGUCCCGUCACCACACACGAAAGAGAAUGACUCUCGGCAAUGGAUAUCUCGGCUCUUGCAUCGAUGAAGAACGUAGCGAAAUGCGAUACUUGGUGUGAAUUGCAGAAUCCCGUGAACCAUCGAGUCUUUGAACGCAAGUUGCGCCCGAAGCCAUUAGGCCGAGGGCACGCCUGCCUGGGUGUCACACAAUGUUACCCUCACGCAAAAAGGGCUACCGUUAGCCAGUGCGUGGUGUGCACGCUGGCCUCCCGCGAGCGGCGUCCCGCGGUUGGCUGAAAAUCGAGUCCGCGGCCGGGUGCGCCGUGAUAAAAUGGUGGACGGGCAAUGCCCGAGACCAAUCACGCGCGAUCCCGUCCGGUGUGACCCCUGGACCCCUGCGGCGUCUUCGGAUGCCGUCGUCGAGACCUCAGGUCAGGCGGGACUACCCGCUGAGUUUA